ACUGAGCCUUUAAUUCUAAGGGCGGGUUGUUCCAACGUCUUAGGUAAAAGCCUACAAGUCAAUGCUUUUACCCGCCUGAUAAGCUACCUAGAAGUUGGAACAACCUGCCCUAAAUUAGCUAUAAUAUAAUAACACAGUGAUUACGCGGACGGCAAUGCACCGACUCAGGGCUCAGACGGUUAGAAGAAUGUGAGGUGUGUGCGGCACAAAAAGCCAAAUAUGCUUGUCCAAAAUGUGAGGUUAGAACGUGCAUAGUCUCACGUGUGUAAACAUAGAUGAAAAAGAACUUGAGUGCGAUGGGAUUAGUGACAAGGCAAGACGAAAUUUACGUAGCAUUUUUUUACCAAAAGUAGCAAAAUCAAUGACUCAAAUACAGCCAACUAUAUCUUCACUAUAUUCCAAGAAUAACGAAUGAUUGUAAACUACUGUAGAAAUAAUGAACUUGAGAACAGAUAAUAUUAAUGGAAAAUUGGAUGAAUAUUCAAUUUAAUAUGAACUGAGGAUUGUAAUUCGGAAAUUAUUGUUUCUCUCAGAUUACAUUGUUGAAAGAUUGUUGAAAGAAGUUGGUCGAUUCGUUGACUGAUUUCAAAGGGAUCUUUCCAAAAAAUGCACUAGAAUGAACAAUCUCUCAGUGGUAUGAAUAAAACAAAUUGAAUAUGAACAUAUUUGUCACAGUACUGUUAAUAUUUCAAUGAGUCUAUGCGACUUUGGUUUACGAGUGUUUCCUCCUGAAAACAUUAACAAUUGUUUUUCGAGGCAUACAAAAACUUUUAUUUCCUUCGAGCCCUACAAAAGUUAAGAGGAGCUGCACAUCGAAGUGGAGUCAGAUUAGAGUUUAUGCCACAAAACUUCAGCAGACACAAAGACAACACAACGUUUUUCAACUGGAAGACAAAUGAAUUAUUUUGGAAAAUAGAAUGGAUAUUUCCACAAGCAGAAAAUGCAAAAUGGAUCACAAAAAGAGUUCACGAAUCAACCAGACUCUUCGACGUCAUUCAGACUAUCUUAGAUCCUGUUAAUUCAGACCAUGAGAGUUUUAAAGACGAAGAUCUAAACACUCGAGAAAUCCUCCAAGACCGACUGCAAUUUUAUCAUACCGCCGAAUUAACGGGUAUAAAAGUUAAUGAUGAAAUCUGGAAAAGUUAAAUAAUCCAGUUUGAGAUUUUGUGCUUGGUGUAGGAUAUACUAAACCUUAAUUGAUUUUUCACGAUCUUUGAAGAUUCAUAGCGACAUUGUAGUAUUGAAACUCGGGC
rnacentral:misc_RNA from 1 species